rnacentral:lncRNA from 1 species
UGUUUAAAAAAAAAAAUAAAAGCAAGUGAGUCUUCUUUCUAGAUUCUCUAUGAUUUUGCAAACAUCCGAAGUGUAAAAACAUCAGCAUCGAUAUCUUGUUGCAAGGGGAGGCAGAAUGUACUACAUCCAUAGGACUAAUUAGAAGUCUAAUAUUACCUGACUAUCACAUUCUAGGUAAUUUGCUCACUUGACAUUCAACUUAAAGCAGCCGGCCUUGUAAAAAAAUAUGUAUAACUUCACUGAAACUUAGUAAAUCUAACUUCAAUGAAGCCCUCUAGCUAGCCGAUAAAUAUACUAGACAAAGAGUAAAGACCAAAAAAGCAGGCUGAGAAUCUUGUUUUGGAUCAAGAUUUGCCUGUUUCGAGUAAAGUUGUUAGAAUAUUGAAGCAACCGCUCUUAAAGUUGAAGAAACAUGUCUAUAGAUUUUGUCAAGGAUUUUAUUGUCUAUUUCUGAAGAGCAUGAAUUAUACCUUGUUGACGUAGUGAAUUAAUUUAUCCAUUUCCUUGAACCAAGACUCAGCAUAUUGGUACUGAAAGUCAUCUCCCAUGGUCCACAUGAUGUGAUUUGUACGUGUCACAUUUGCCUGCAAAUCACAUGUUCCAGGUUAUCACCCAUUGCAUCAAAUUACAUGAAAACCUUAUCACAUGUUCCAGGUUAUCACCCGUUGCAUCAAAUUACAUGAAAACCUAUUUCCUUCGCCACUUAUUAUGGUUCUAUGAGAAAUACUUGUUAUGAUAACUGAACAGAACUGCAAUUAGGGUGUACUUGAGUGAUUGCAGAAUUGAUAAAGUCAUUAACGCGUAUGUCAACAUUGAAAUCAAAGAUAAAAGGAUCAUCCUGCAAUUCAUAUGGAAAAUAUAUGAAAUUAGUUCUCCCUUUAUAAAGCACACCAUAAGACAGGCUAAUUCUUGCAUUCUGAUAGAACCUGGACAGGAACAAAAUCAUCGUCCACUUCAAAAUGGAAACCAUUCGGUGGACUAUAAUGUACAGGAAAUGCAUUGGUAAAUAUCUGCAAAUCACCCACAUAUCAUUAACCACAACGAAUUAUAAAAAAUACAUGGACAAAGAUCAAGAAUGCUUCAUGAACCUGG